rnacentral:lncRNA from 1 species
GGAAGAAUGAGUGGAUUGUAGAAGACUGUGCAGGCCCUGGGAGUCUAGCUGGACACAAAGCGAUCAACCACCUCAAGAUUCUGCUACCAAGCCUUCUCCACCAAGGAGGACUGUAUCCUGCAUGUGUAUGGUGGAUUGAAAGAAAAUGCCCCCCCCCACCAAGGAAGUGGCACUAUUAGGAGAUGUGGCCUUGCUGGAGGAAGUAUGUCACUGUGGAGGCAGACUCAAGCCAUGUCCAGCGAGGCAGACUACUUCCUGUUGCCUGAGCAAGAUGUAGAACUCUCAGCUACCUCUCCAGAACUCUGUCUGCCUGCAUGCCGCCAUGCUCCACCAUAAUAGACGGAACCUCUGAAACU